CCUACGGGGGGCAGCAGUGAGGAAUAUUGGUCAAUGGACGAGAGUCUGAACCAGCCAAGUAGCGUGAAGGAUGACUGCCCUAGGGGUUGUAAACUUCUUUUAUAAAGGAAUAAAACGAGGCACGUGUGCCUUUUUGCAUGUACUUUAUGAAUAAGGAUCGGCUAACUCCGUGCCAGCAGCCGCGGUAAUACGGAGGAUCCGAGCGUUAUCCGGAUUUAUUGGGUUUAAAGGGAGCGUAGAUGGGUUGUUAAGUCAGUUGUGAAAGUUUGCGGCUCAACCGUAAAAUUGCAAUUGAUACUGGCAGUCGUGAGUACAGUUGAGGUAGGCGGAAUUCGUGGUGUAGCGAUGAAAUGCUUAGAUAUCACGAAGAACUCCGAUUGCGAAGGCAGCUUACUAAACUGCCACUGACAUUGAUGCUCGAAAGUGUGGGUAUCAAACAGGAUUAGAUACCCGAGUAGUC
rnacentral:rRNA from 1 species